UCAAUUCCCCUUUCCCACAAAAUAAAACCGUUUCCCUUUCCCCCAAUUCCCUUUACUCACGGCGGCCUAACUUCUCCCUCCCUCACCUUUUCUUAUUUUUUCUUUCUUUUGUGCUUGAAUUUUAUGUGUGCUAGUUACUUUUUUUUAUUUACUUUUUUUUUUUGUAGGUUUUUACAAAGUGGAGUUCCCGAAAGAGAUUAAUUGAAUAAUAUGGUUGCUGCAUUGAAUCAUAUAUUUUUUUGUGGAUGCGAAAGGUAAUCUUCAAUUCUAUUUUCCAUGUUAAGGACUAUGUAAUAAUUUGAUUCUUGUGUGGUUGAAAAAAUAGAGAUCUUGUUUUCAUCUUCAAUAUGCAAAAAUUAGAGUCAAGCAGAGAAGUUUGCUGAGGAGGGAGUCGUCAUAGAGAUUCCAGUUGCUGCUUUGUAUGAAGGCUCGCCAAGUGACUAUCAAAUAAUCUGUAUUCUUGUAGUCACUAGUCAACAUUAGAAUUUAAUUGUAGUUAGCAUUCUUAGCAUGAUGGGAGAAACUUUUGUAUUUCUUGAGAACCAUUUAGUAAUGGUGGUGUUAUAAUAUUUAUAAAAAUGUAGUGUGUUGAAGUGACUCUUUUAUUUUAAUUUAGAAUUGUUUUGGAGUGUA